GGAAGUUUUAUGUCCCUUGGACAUAGUGGUUUUUCAACAGUAAUUGCAGAAGAAAUCCUGAUGCCUCAUCUAGAGCUGAUAGCUAAAGUAUUGAAAGACAAUGGUUUUCUCUUCUAAGGCUGAAGGACCUGUGAAAUGGAUUUGGAGCCAGCCUUCUCCAUCAGCUAAUCUAUGUGUGAGAGCUAAAUAAAAGAACCUUGGGGAAAGGUGAAAAAAGAGUAACUACAACCUUGGGGCUUCGUGUCUUCCACCUAAAUCAUCUCAUUUAACCUCCAGCAACUCCAGAAGGGAUCUGCAAUAGCCAUGUGCCAUAUUCAUUGUCUGCAAGAAGAUGGCUCAGAUACCUUACAUACCUCAGAAGUAGGUGUUGGAAAGAAUAAAGAUUUUUCUCUUCUCCCUGGUGUCAUUUGAAGGAAAAUCAUCUUCAUGCAACUUCCAAGAACGACGAAAUAAAGGCAACAUUGCCUGGCUUCACAAGUCUGACAUUAACAUGAUGCUAUAGCGGAUGGAUCCCCAAAACCAAGCAAAACAAGCCAAAUGAAUGACCCUGCCACAGUCCAUCUCUACUACUAAAGAAAACCAAACCUAACAAGCUCUCAACAGGACUCUCCAAACUGAGUUGCAUCAUACACUUCCAUUCUGCUUCAAAAGCAUUAUCUUGGUACACAAUUUUUCUGUUUUCUGGUUAAUAUAGUUCCCAGAUUACAUGCAACAAAAUUACAUCAGUUUUAUUAAAUUACAACAUAAAA